AACACGUGGAGAUUUGGGCAGAGUUUUGGGCCUGGAGAGGGCACGGACGCUCCGUGCCCCUCCCCCAUGCCUUGUCCUAUGCAUCUCUUCCAUUGGAUGUUCAUCUGUAUCCUUUAUCACAACCUGUAAUAAACUGCUAAACGAAAAAGAAGACAGCAAUAAUAAUAACAGAGAAACAUUCUGCAUGAUAAAAAGCCAUCUCUUGGCCGGCAACGACCCGAAUAUUCUACCCCCCGGGAAGCCUGUUUUGCAUUUGCAGCAAGAGGGCAUUGAGCUUCUUGCAUGUUACCCUUCAUAUACCAGGUCCUUGAAAAAGGGAUGAUGGUGAUGAGGAAGAUGAUGAUGGUUUCUACCUAGUAAAAAAAUCAAGAUGGCAGCUGGUGGGACUUCUUGGGCUCCAUGACCACUGCCGCACGGCAUGAGGGGAUCCUAGUUCCCCAACCAGGGAUCGAAUCCGUGCCCCCUGCAGUGGAAGCAGAGAGUCUUAACCACUGGACCUCCAGGGAAGUCCCUAAGUAUCUUUUAAAAUUCGGCUUAUAGGUUAUACCCUUUAUGAAGCCUUUUCUUCUUCCCUCCCCAAUCCAGAAGUAACCUCUCCUUGUUUAGUGCUUUCCUAACACUUAGUUUGCACUUUCCUAUUGGGACUUCAAACAUUUUGUAGUGUUAUUGUAGGGCUGUUCAUAGAGAUUGUACCAGUUUUAUUACCUGGAGGGUAGCAACUAGA